GUUCGAAUUAUGAUUUCACACUAAACAAAUUAGUUAAGGGGAUAGACAUUAAUUAAGGAUUACACUCUCAAAAGUCAUUUGUGUGAAACAUAUAUUUUCAUAGAUAUAUUCUGAGCUUCUAAAUGAAACAUAUCAUGAUAGUUCUGGUUUGCAUAUAUUAUCAAAAAGCAGCAUUACUCGAUGUGCAAGUUUUGUAUUUUUUUCUAAUGUUACGACCUGAAACAUG
rnacentral:lncRNA from 1 species